AGCAGCCGCGGUAAUUCCAGCUCCAAUAGCGUAUAUUAAAGUUGUUGCAGUUAAAAAGCUCGUAGUUGAAUUUCGGGAUCAAUAUGUCGGUCGUGCCUUCGGUACGUACUGGUAUCAUUGGUCUCUCCUUUCUGACGAACCAUGAUGUCAUUAAUUUGGUGUUAUGGGGAGUUAGGACUGUUACUUUGAAAAAAUUAGAGUGUUUAAAGCAGGCUUUAGCUUGAAUACAUUAGCAUGGAAUAAUGAAAUAGGACGUUCGAACCUAUUUUGUUGGUUUCUAGGAUUCAACGUAAUGAUUAAUAGGGAUAGUUGGGGGCAUUAGGUAUUCAAUUGUCAGAGGUGAAAUUCUUGGAUUUAUGAAGACUAACUACUGCGAAAGCAUUUGCCAAGGAUGUUUCAUUAAUCAAGAACGAAAGUUAGGGGAUCGAAGACGAUCAGAUACCGUCGUAGUCUAACCAUAAACUAUGACCGAUAGGGAUCGGAUGAUGUUAAUUUUUANGUACUCAUUCGGCGCCUUAAC
rnacentral:rRNA from 1 species